rnacentral:rRNA from 1 species
AACGAACGCUGGCGGCGGGCUUAACACAUGCAAGUCGAACGCCCCGCAAGGGGAGUGGCAGACGGGUGAGUAACGCGUGGGAACAUUCCCUUUUCUACGGAAUAGCUCUGGGAAACUGGAAUUAAUACCGUAUACGCCCUACGGGGGAAAGAUUUAUCGGGGAAGGAUUGGCCCGCGUUGGAUUAGCUAGUUGGUGGGGUAAAGGCCUACCAAGGCGACGAUCCAUAGCUGGUCUGAGAGGAUGAUCAGCCACAUUGGGACUGAGACACGGCCCAAACUCCUACGGGAGGCAGCAGUGGGGAAUAUUGGACAAUGGGCGCAAGCCUGAUCCAGCCAUGCCGCGUGAGUGAUGAAGGCCUUAGGGUUGUAAAGCUCUUUCACCGAUGAAGAUAAUGACGGUAGUCGGAGAAGAAGCCCCGGCUAACUUCGUG